UUGAGUUUCCUUUGCUCUGCGUUUCAAUAUGGGCUCUCAACGUUUGCAGGAAAAUCUAGGGCAGGCAGGCACUAUCCUUCUCCAUAGGCCACCUUUCGAUGGGAGCUAGCUAGCUAGGCUACGCAUCAAAUGCAUCGACUCCAUGGAUAGUUGGCCGGCAGCUCCACUCUAUGGAAAUGGAAAUGCCUGACAUGUGAGCCCAGUCAUGCACAAGUGGAGCAGACGUGUCACCUCAGGAUCAUUCCCUCCUGAUUAUAAUAUAUCAAAAUUAGCCACAUAGUCAUAGUAAUAGUCAUAAUGGUCACCGAAUAUACACAACCGUUAAAAUUGUGUAACCCACUGAGUGCAAAAGUGAAUCGAAGAACUUAUCUCCACCAAUUAACUUGCAACCAUUCCAGCAUCCAUCAUCCAAGGAGUAAAGAUAUUCACCUUCCACCAAGCCUUCUUUUACAUGCAUCUGCCCUUACCAUUACUUACUUUAGAUGGAAGUUUAGGGAUCGAUGGCAGUCGAUUCGACUUAGCUGGAUUCGAAACAUGAGAUAUUUAUAUUUUACACCUUAAUUAGAUUCGAACUAAAAAAAGGUAAUCAACUAACCAGUGAAAAUUCUUCCAAUAUGGGAUAAAGGAGAAUGGUUUAUUGCUUCUAUUAGUUCUUUGUGAGUCAUAAGAUGUACAAAUCUCUCCGUAAAAAAAUGCACGAUUCUGAUCAAAAAGGCAAUUUAUUUAUAUUCCUUGUUAACUAGGAGCAUCACAAAUAGUUCCUAGCUAGCUAGGUUAUUUUGUGAUAAUUGAAUUGUUUCAUGUAAAACUGAUACUUCGCAGAGGUCCCGAAUCAAGUUGAGUUGAUUUUGAUACCCACUAUUUCCUUGAUUGUAUGGUUAAUCCAUAGCACCUCAUAGUAGUCCUUUGCCGUAAAAUGUAUUAUUAUUGUUUACUUUUUAGGUUGCAAGGAAUGUUUCAAACCCUUUUACAUUGGAGCUUGGUCAUACUACCUUACAAAUCCAUGUUUGCUACUUAGAAGAAAGAAGAAUCGUGAUCCAUCAUUCAUUGUUUUGCCAAGUAGUUCUUACGGGUGGUAAAGAACACAUGUCUUCAACAAUGGACAAAGACGGUAUCCGGUCAUUUGUCCCACCGAUGACAACAGAAGAUCGAUGAAUGAUGCGGCAAUGCAAGCUUCUGUUUUCUUGAAAACAUGUAAAGGUUCUAUCGCAUUUGUCUCUAUUUAAUUUGCCUCAUACACCCUGCUUUCGAGCAUAGGUUAAGAACUGAAUCGGCAACCGAACCGGUGAGACUAUUGGUUAAGGUUUUCAUUUGUAGAACAAUGAAUACAGAUAAUAUUAGACGUUAACCAUUAAUAAAUCACAAAAGUAUUCUUAUCCUUGCUGGUUAUUGGGAUUGCCUUUCUUCAAGGUGAGGUGUUUGAUUCCCUAUAGAUGCGCCUUUUAAUUUUUUGGUAUUUCACUAAAAGAAGGUACACCUCAAAAAACCGGGCAAGCCGCUGGUUACGGUUUUUUGGUUGGACCGCUGGUCUGGUCCGGGUCUUUGAACUUUGCUCUCGGCGAUUAAGCUUUCCAGAUAUUGAUAGUGGUUUUGUCUUUGUACAUGUAUCCUUUUGGUAUCCUACUAGUUCACGUUGGUAGUUGAAGACAUUGAAGCAUGUUGUUCUAGCUAGAAACAAUCUCUUUCCGUCAGCAAGUGUCUAGGUGGGUACGUUGGUUGUCUUCACGCCCCUAACUUUUUUUUACCACACUGAAAGCAAAUAUCUGGUGAUUCUGGCUGUUUACUCUUGAGAUAGAACAACAUGCUUCAAUCGCUUCAACCUCGCU